GCAACAGAGGACUCUAACACACCCUAAGCACCAUUUGAAAACAAAAUACAUGGGAAUAUUUUGUUUCACAAAAAUUCCAAGAGUUCUACUGUUGUCUUGAUUUGGGAAUGACACAAGACUUCAAAAUUCUGGAGUUUCCCAUGGGUUUGGAAUUCUGAUUUUUGACCAGCUCAAACUGAUAACAAGAGAUGACAGGAGCACAACCAUGGGCUCUAGACAGCUGAUCCACCACAGCAGCUGAACAGUCCAGUGGAGAAGUAACAGCAAAACAAAGAGUUGAACAUCUUACCAGAAAGCCACUGAGAUUCAGACAUAUUAUAUCUUGUUUUCACCAUACCCAAUUCUUCACUGCAAAACUUUAAAGAAAACAACAAUGCUUUUUCCUACUGCCUUAGAAGACUAUGGACAAAUGUAUCUAAUUAAUCAUAUGCCAUCUCCACAAAUUACAAUCAGCUCAACAUAGAAUGAUACCAUCACUUGAUCAGCAAUGCAGGCUCCUCAAACCAAUAGCUAGGUAAACCGAGCCACAGAGAGAGUGGGUGACAUACCCAAGAGCACACAGCUGUCUAGCCAAUUGUGAAGAUGAAAAUGGAACACAAGCCUCCUGACUCUCGGCUCAUUGCCCUAUCCAGUGGGCUACACUGCC